AAAAGCACUAGUAAACUCAGGACAAACUAAGAUUCUCUACAGACAAUGACUUGUUUAUACUGCUCUAUAUACUAUGCACUGAAAUCUGGAACUGGAUGGACUAAAAUGCCAUGAGCAAGGCUGUCGCACUGUACUUCUGAUCCAGCCUGAAGAGCAUGGACGCCCUUGGAAUGCCGCUGCACACGACAGGACAGGCUGUGAACCCUCUUCUCACAUUAUUGAGCAGUUACCCAGUUAGUCCCAUCAACUCCAUAUUGGCUGCUGAGCAAGAUGGAAAAUCCAGACCAGUUACUGUGUAAAUCGUCCAGGCAGAAGGCACCUGCUGUGCUGCUGAAUGUACUAGGUAUAUGCUCGUAUUCGAGCUAUGCCAGUGAGAAUGUUGAUGAAUGACAGCAACACAGCUGGAGUGGGACAGAAUGAGCAACGGAAUUAAG